rnacentral:rRNA from 1 species
UAAGGAAUAUUGGUCAAUGGGCGCAAGCCUGAACCAGCCAUGCCGCGUGAAGGAUGAAGGCCUUAUGGGUCGUAAACUUCUUUUAUAAGGGAAAAAACAGUGGUACGUGUACCACUUUGCUUGUACUUUAUGAAUAAGCAUCGGCUAACUCCGUGCCAGCAGCCGCGGUAAUACGGAGGAUGCGAGCGUUAUCCGGAUUCAUUGGGUUUAAAGGGUGCGCAGGCGGAUUAAUAAGUCAGUGGUGAAAUCCUACGGCUCAACUGUAGAACUGCCAUUGAUACUGUUAGUCUUGAGUAUUGUUGAGGUAGGCGGAAUGUGUCAUGUAGCGGUGAAAUGCUUAGAUAUGACACAGAACACCAAUCGCGAAGGCAGCUUACCAAGCAAUAACUGACGCUCAUGCACGAAAGCGUGGGGAUCAAACA